rnacentral:rRNA from 1 species
GACAGAGGGUGCAAGCGUUGUUCGGAAUUACUGGGCGUAAAGCGCGUGUAGGCGGCGCGGUAAGUCAGGUGUGAAAGCCCUGGGCUCAACCUAGGAAGUGCACUUGAAACUGCCGUGCUUGAGAUCUGGAGAGGAAGGCGGAAUUCUCGGUGUAGAGGUGAAAUUCGUAGAUAUCGAGAGGAACACCGGUGGCGAAGGCGGCCUUCUGGACAGCAUCUGACGCUGAGACGCGAAAGCGUGGGGAGCAAACAGG